UUGGCAUGCAUGUGUAUCGCAUGGAGCUGAACAUUUUGGGUGGUGAAAGGUGAAGGUCAAGGUCAUCCUUCAAGGUCAAAGGUCAAAUAUAUGGAGUCUGUCCGUCCGAAAACUUUAACAUUGGCCAUAACUUUUUAUACGCCCGUAUAAAAUACGGGACGUAUAAUGUGAAACCCCUUGGCGGCUGGCGGCGGGCGGCGGGCGGAAGGCAUCACUUUGUCCGGACUCUAAUUCAAAUUGUAUUCAUCCGAUCUUCACCAAACUUGGUCAGCAGUUGCAUCUAGUUGAUAUCUAGGCCAAGUUCGAAUAUGGGUCAUGCCGGGUCAAAAACUAGGUCAUAGGGUCAAUUAGUGCAUUUUCAACGGCGCCACUUUGUCCGGACUCUAAUUCAAAUUGUAUUCAUCCGAUCUUCACCAAACUUGGUCAGCAGUUGCAUCUAGUUGAUAUCUAGGCCAAGUUCGAAUAUGGGUCAUGCCGGGUCAAAAACUAGGUCAUAGGGUCAAUAAGUGCAUUUUCAAAGGGGCCACUUUGUCCGGACUCUAUUUCAAAUUGUAUUCAUCCGAUCUUCACCAAACUUGGUCAGCAGUUGCAUCUAGUUGAUAUAUAGGCCAAGUUCGAAUAUGGGUCAUGCCGGGUCAAAAACUAGGUCAUAGGGUCAAUUAGUGCAUUUUCAACGGCGCCACUUUGUCCGGACUCUAAUUCAAAUUGUAUUCAUCCGAUCUUCACCAAACUUGGUCAGUAGUUGCAUCUAGUUGAUAUCUAGGUCAAGUCCGAAUAUGGGUCAUGCUGGGUUAAAAACUAGGUCACUGGGUCACUUAGUGCAUUUCAAGGAUUUAGCAUGGUGUCCGCUCUCUAAUUGAAGUAUUUUUCAUCCGAUCUUCACCGAAUUCGGUCAGAAGUUGUGUCUAAAUGAUAUCUAGGUCAAGAACAAAUAUGUGUCUUGGCGGGUCAAAAAAUAGGUCACAAGGUCACUUAAUGAAUUUCAAGCGUUUAGCAUGGUGUCCGCUCUCUACUUUAAGUAGUUUUCAUCUGAUCUUCACUGAAUUUGGUCAGAAGUUGAGUCUAAAUGAUAUCUAGGUCAAGAACAAAUAUGGGUCUUGCUGGGUCAAAAACUAGGUCACUUAAUGCAUUUCAAGCAUUUAGCAUGGUGUCCGCUCUCUAAUUGAAGUAGUUUUCAUCCUGUCUUUACCAAAUUUGGUCAGAAGUUGUGUCUAAUUGAUAUCUAGGUCAAGUUCAAAUAUGUGCUG